rnacentral:rRNA from 1 species
UAUGGAGGAUCCGAGCGUUAUCCGGAUUUAUUGGGUUUAAAGGGAGCGUAGGCGGGUUGUUAAGUCAGUUGUGAAAGUUUGCGGCUCAACCGUAAAAUUGCAGUUGAUACUGGCAUCCUUGAGUACAGUAGAGGUAGGCGGAAUUCGUGGUGUAGCGGUGAAAUGCUUAGAUAUCACGAAGGACUCCGAUUGCGAAGGCAGCCUGCUGGACUGUAACUGACGCUGAUGCUCGAAAGUGUGGGUAUCAAACAGG